GAUGAACGCUGGCGGCGUGCCUAAUACAUGCAAGUCGAGCGAACAGACGAGGAGCUUGCUCCUUUGACGUUAGCGGCGGACGGGUGAGUAACACGUAGGUAACCUACCUAUAAGACUGGGAUAACUUCGGGAAACCGGAGCUAAUACCGGAUAAUAUUUCGAACCGCAUGGUUCGAUAGUGAAAGAUGGCUUUGCUAUCACUUAUAGAUGGACCUGCGCCGUAUUAGCUAGUUGGUAAGGUAACGGCUUACCAAGGCAACGAUACGUAGCCGACCUGAGAGGGUGAUCGGCCACACUGGAACUGAGACACGGUCCAGACUCCUACUGGAGGCAGCAGUAGGGAAUCUUCCGCAAUGGGCGAAAGCCUGACGGAGCAACGCCGCGUGAGUGAUGAAGGUCUUCGGAUCGUAAAACUCUGUUAUCAGGGAAGAACAAACGUGUAAGUAACUGUGCACGUCUUGACGGUACCUAAUCAGAAAGCCACGGCUAACUACGUG
rnacentral:rRNA from 1 species